ACGCUCGACACCUACGGGAGGCAGCAGGUGGGGAAUAUUGCACAAUGGGGAAACCCUGAUGCAGCGACGCCGCGUGAGUGAAGAAGUAUUUCGGUAUGUAAAGCUCUAUCAGCAGGGAAGAAGAUGACGGUACCUGAGUAAGAAGCCCCGGCUAACUACGUGUCAGCAGCCGCGGUAAUCUGAGCGGGCUGGCAAGGC
rnacentral:rRNA from 1 species